rnacentral:rRNA from 1 species
UACGAAGGGGGCUAGCGUUGCUCGGAAUCACUAGGCGUAAAGCGCACGUAGGCGGACUCUUAAGUCGGUGGUGAAAUCCUGGAGCUCAACUCCAGAACUGCCUUCGAUACUGAGAGUCUCGAGUCCGGGAGAGGUGAGUGGAACUGCGAGUGUAGAGGUGAAAUUCGUAGAUAUUCGCAAGAACACCAGUGGCGAAGGCGGCUCACUGGCCCGGUACUGACGCUGAGGUGCGAAAGCGUGGGGAGCGAACAGG